AUGGACCCCAACUGCUUCCGCACCACAGGUGGCUCUUGUAUUUGCACUGGCUCCUGCAAAUGCAAAGACUGCAAAUGCACCUCCUGCAAGAAGAGCUGCUGCUCUUGCAGCCUCAUGGGCUGUGCCAAGGGCCUCCAAAGCUGCAACUGCAAAGGGGCAUUGGACAAAUGCAGCUGCUGCGCCUGA